AUUUACUGGCACCGCACCGGCGAGCAACAGGAGGGAGACUCAGCCGCUGCAUUGUUGGAGACGUUCGAGGACGAAUCCCUUUCCACAUGCGAAGCCUACUCCACCUCCGUCGCGGAGCCCCCGGCUGCCCUGCCUCCUUUCCACCAGCUGCAGCGGCUCCUCUCCAGCACCAGCACCAGCUCGGACACCGACACCAGCACGUCACAGCAACGUCUUAUCACCGGCAAGAGAAAAGGGGGCCACAGAAAAUUGGACCUUCCUAGCGUACUUGUGGAGAUGCAGGCUGAGGAGGAGUGGAGUCAUGCCCAGCAUGAUGAGAACAUCUGGUUGCUCCUCAGCGAGGCAAGAGAGAAUGAAGCUGCCUUGCAGCGGGAGGAGAUGGCCCAGAAUACUGCCUUCAACCAGUCAUUCCUGGGUGUGCUGGGGCAGCUGGGGUAGGCAGUGGGCAGCCGGCGAGUGUGAGCGAGUCCACCUCCCAUAGACUUGAGAUUUACAAGUGCUGGUCAUAUAAUUAGAAUAUCAUGAAAAAGCUCGUCUUUUGGACAACUGUCAGGUCAGUAGUCUUCCCCAUGAUUGUGUAGCCUACAGAACUAGGCUGAGAGACCAUUUAAAGGCCUUUGCAGGUGUUUUGAGUUAAUUAGCUGAUUAGAGGUGUCUUCAAUAUUGAACCUUUCUACAAUAUUCUAAUUUUCAGAGAUACCAAAUUUGAGAUUUUUGUUAGUAUUCAGGUAUAAUCAUCAAAGUUAAGAGAAAUAAACAUUUGAAAUAUAUCAGUCUCUGUGUAAUGAAUGAGUAUAAUA
ensembl:lncRNA